AACGACCGCUGGCGGCAGGCUUAACACAUGCAAGUCGAACGCAUCCUUCGGGGUGAGUGGCAGACGGGUGAGUAACGCGUGGGAACGUGCCCUUCAGUUCGGGAUAACCCAGGGAAACUUGGGCUAAUACCGGAUACGUGCGAGAGCAGAAAGAUUUAUCGCUGAAGGAUCGGCCCGCGUCUGAUUAGCUAGUUGGUGGGGUAAUGGCCCACCAAGGCGACGAUAAGUAGCUGGUCUGAGAGGGUGAUCAGCCACAUUGGGGCUGAAACACGGCCCAAACGCCGACGGGGGGCAGCGGGGGGGAAUAUUGGACGAUGGGCGCAAGCCUGAUCCAGCCAUGCCGCGUGAGUGAUGAAGGCCUUAGGGUUGUAAAGCUCUUUCGUCCGGGACGAUAAUGACGGUACCGGAAGAAGAAGCCCCGGCUAACUUCGUGCCAGCCGCCGCGGUAA
rnacentral:rRNA from 1 species